rnacentral:tRNA from 1 species
GCAGCCAUGAUCAAGUGGUUAAGGCGAUGGACUAGAUAUACAUUGGGGUCUCCCCACACAGGUUCUAAUCGUGUUGACUGCA